GCGGGCGGGCUCUUUCCUCCGCGCGGAAAGUGGGAGCGUUCGGAGACGGAAAUGUUUACAGUCCGCUGAGCGGAGGAGGGGAAGCGUUGCGUCUUCUCUCGCCAGCCAAACAGCCCGGAGUUCAUUAUAAAUGCGCGAGAUAGGUUAUCGCAAAAGCACUAAGGAUAAUCUGAAAGUGACAUAAUCCAUAGUUAUGCUGGCUGUCCAAUAAUAAACCUUGUAUGCUCCAGAUGGAGGAUAGACUUGAAAAUGACUACACUACAUAUUUUGGACUAACUAUAUUUGCAUAAUACACUGAAUCACAAUCUAUCCAAUAAUUUUGAAUAUGUUGUACAAUAUCUCAUUUUGCAGUUAGAUUAUGCUUCCAAGUGUUGUGUGCAUCCAGAAAAUUGGUUAAAUAAAACAAGAUUCAGUUAACUAUG